ACAUAAUGCAACUAGCAUCCCCCACAUUGGAACUGAGACACGGUCCAAACUCCUACGGGAGGCAGCAGUGAGGAAUAUUGGUCAAUGGGCGAGAGCCUGAACCAGCCAAGUAGCGUGCAGGAAGACGGCCCUAUGGGUUGUAAACUGCUUUUAUAAGGGAAUAAAGUUAGUCUCGUGGGACUUUUUGCAUGUACCUUAUGAAUAAGGACCGGCUAAUUCCGUGCCAGCAGCCGCGGUAAUACGGAAGGUCCGGGCGUUAUCCGGAUUUAUUGGGUUUAAAGGGGGCGUAGGCCGGAGAUUAAGCGUGUUGUGAAAUGUAGACGCUCAACGUCUGCACUGCAGCGCGAACUGGUUUCCUUGAGUACGCACAAAGUGGGCGGAAUUCGUGGUGUAGCGGUGAAAUGCUUAGAUAUCACGAAGAACUCCGAUUGCGAAGGCAGCUCACUGGAGCGCAACUGACGCUGAAGCUCGAAAGUGCGGGUAUCGAACAGGAUUAGAUACCCUGGUAGUCCGCACGGUAAACGAUGGAUGCCCGCUGUUGGUCUGAACAGGUCAGCGGCCAAGCGAAAGCAUUAAGCAUCCCACCUGGGGAGUACGCCGGCAACGGUGAAACUCAAAGGAAUUGACGGGGGCCCGCACAAGCGGAGGAACAUGUGGUUUAAUUCGAUGAUACGCGAGGAACCUUACCCGGGCUUGAAUUGCAGAGGAAGGAUUUGGAGACAAUGACGCCCUUCGGGGUCUCUGUGAAGGUGCUGCAUGGUUGUCGUCAGCUCGUGCCGUGAGGUGUCGGCUUAAGUGCCAUAACGAGCGCAACCCCUCUCCUUAGUUGCCAUCAGGUUAAGCUGGGCACUCUGGGGACACUGCCACCGUAAGGUGUGAGGAAGGUGGGGAUGACGUCAAAUCAGCACGGCCCUUACGUCCGGGGCUACACACGUGUUACAAUGGCAGGUACAGAGAGACGGUUGUACGUAAGUACGAUCAAAUCCUUAAAGCCUGUCUCAGUUCGGACUGGGGUCUGCAACCCGACCCCACGAAGCUGGAUUCGCUAGUAAUCGCGCAUCAGCCAUGGCGCGGUGAAUACGUUCCCGGGCCUUGUACACACCGCCCGUCAAGCCAUGAAAGCCGGGGGCGCCUAAAGUCCGUGACCGUAAGGAGCGGCCUAGGGCGAAACUGGUAAUUGGGGCUAAGUCGGAACAAGGUA
rnacentral:rRNA from 1 species